rnacentral:misc_RNA from 1 species
GAUGAAGAACGUAGCGAAAUGCGAUACUUGGUGUGAAUUGCAGAAUCCCGUGAACCAUCGAGUCUUUGAACGCAAGUUGCGCCUCAAGCCAUUAGGUUGAGGGCACGUCUGCCUGGGCGUCACAUAUCGUUGCCUGAUGCCAGUUUCCUCGUGAUGGGUGACUGUGCAGGGCGAAUGAUGGCUUCCCGUGAGCAUUGUUGCCUCAUGGUUGGUUGAAAAUUGAGUCCUUGGUAGGGAGCGCCGUGAUAGAUGGUGGUUGAGUGACGAACGAGACCCAAUCAUGUGAGACCCCUACCGAAUUUGGCCUUCAUGACCCACAUGCGUCUUUGGAACGCUCAUGACGAGACCUCAGGUCAGGCGGGGCUACCCGCUGAGUUUAAUCAUACCAAUAAGCGCAGUA